rnacentral:pre_miRNA from 4 species
UAACAGAAACCCGUAAAUCCGAACUUGUGCUAUAUGCUAAUUGUUACAAGACCGGCAUUAUGGGAGUCUGUCAA